GACGAACGCUGGCGGCGUGCUUAACACAUGCAAGUCGAACGGGUCUGCCCUGUUUUUUGCGGGGUGGGUCAGUGGCGAACGGGUGAGUAACACGUGAGUAACCUGCCCCUCACUUCUGGAUAACCGCUUGAAAGGGUGGCUAAUACGGGGUGUUCUGGCUGUGCCGCAUGGUGUGGCUGGGAAAGAUUCACUUUUGUGGUGUUUUGGUGGGGGAUGGGCUCGCGGCCUAUCAGCUUGUUGGUGGGGUGAUGGCCUGCCAAGGCUUUGACGGGUAGCCGGCCUGAGAGGGUGGGCGGUCACACUGGGACUGAGAUACGGCCCAGACUCCUGCGGGAGGCAGCAGUGGGGGGUAUUGCGCAAUGGGCGGAAGCCUGAUGCAGCGACGUCGCGUGAGGGAUGGAGGCCGUCGGGUUGGGAACCUCUUUCGCCGGUGAAGAAGGUCCUGCUCUUUGUGGUGGGGUUGACGGUAGCCGGGUUAUGAAGCGCCGGCUAACUACGU
rnacentral:rRNA from 1 species